CAUAGUCAUUAGCUUUUUAAUUGAGAGCUUGUAUGAAUGGUUGAACAAAAGAAAUGCUGUCUCUUUUUCAAAGUUUGAACUUAACUUUUAAGUGAAAAGGCUUAAAUGCAUUAAGGGGACGAUAAGACCCUAUAAAGCUUUAUAAUUAAUAAAGACGUUUAAAAAUUAAAAAUAAAAGAAACUUUAUUAUUGAUUAUUAUGUUGGGGCGACACAGAUAAAAUUAGUAACUGUCAGAAAAGAAAACAUAUAUAAAUGAGGCAUAUGAUCCUUUAUAAAGAUUAAAAGACAAAGUUACUUUAGGGAUAACAGCGUUAUUCUUUUUGAGAGUCCAUAUCGAAAGAAGAGUUUGCGACCUCGAUGUUGAAUCAUAAAAUCUUUAUAGUGCAGGAGUUAUAAAAA
rnacentral:rRNA from 1 species